ACUCAAAUGAAUUGACGGGGACCCGCACAACCAGUGGAGCAUGUGGUUUAAUUCGUUACGAACCGAAGAACCUUACCCGGGUUUGACAUGCUAGAUGCAAUCCGCCAGAGAUGGUGGACUUCUUCGAGAGUUCUAGCACAGGUGUUGCAUGGCUAUCGUCAGCUCGUGCCAUGAGGUGUUCCCUUAAGUGGGGUAACGAGCGCAACCCCCGUCGUAUGUUAAAUUAUUCAUACGAGACUGCUUUGUUUUACAAGGAGGAAGGAGGGGAAGACGUUAAGUCAGCAUGGCCUUUAUAUCCGGGGCGACGCACAUGCUACAAUGAAGCCGACAAUGGGUUGCCAAGCCGUAAGGCGGAGCUAAUCCCAUCAAACGGCUUCUCAGUGGGGAUUGAGGGCUGCAACCCGCCCUCAUGAACGCGGAAUUGGUAGUAAUCGCAAAUCAGCCAAGUUGCGGUGAAUACGUUCUCGGGUCUUGCACACACCGCCCGU
rnacentral:rRNA from 1 species